AUGGAUCAGAUCAGGUCAUGGAUCAGAUCAGGUCAUGGAUCAGAUCAGGUCAAGGAUCAGGUCAGGUCAGGGAUUAGGUCAGGUCACGGAUCAGGUCAGGUCACGGAUCAGGUCAGGUCAUGGAUCAGGUCAGGUCACAGGUCAGGUCAGGUCACGGAUCAGGUCAGGUCAUGGAUCAGGUCAGGUCACAGGUCAGGUCAGGUCACAGAUCAGGUCAUGGAUCAGAUCAGGUCAUGGAUCAGGUCAGGUCAAGGAUCAGGUCAGGUCACGGAUCAGGUCAGGUCAGGGAUUAGGUCAGGUCAUGGAUCAGGUCAGGUCACGGAUCAGGUCAGGUCAUGGAUCAGGUCAGGUCACAGGUCAGGUCAGGUCAUGGAUCAGGUCAGGUCACAGGUCAGGUCACAGAUCAGGUCAUGGAUGGGGUCAGGUCAUGGAUCAGGUCAGGUCCCGGAUCAGGUCAGGUCACAGGUCAGGUCAUGGAUCAGGUCAGGUCAUGGAUCAGGUCAUGGAUCAGGUCAGGUCACAGAUCAGGUCACAGGUCAGGUCAUGGAUCAGGUCAGGUCCCGGAUAAGGUCAGGUCACAGGUCAGGUCAGGUCACAGAUCAGGUCACGGAUCAGGUCAGGUCACAGGUCAGGUCAGGUCACAGAUCAGAUCAUGGAUCAGGUCAGGUCCCGGAUCAGGUAAGAUCCCGGAUCAGAUCAGGUCCCGGAUCAGGUCAGGUCACAGAUCAGGUCACGGAUCAGGUCAGGUCACAGAUCAGAUCAUGGAUCAGGUCAGGUCACGGAUCAGGUCAGGUCACAGGUCAGAUCAUGGAUCAGGUCAGGUCACAGAUCAGGUCAUGGAUCAGGUCAGGUCCCGGAUCAGGUAAGAUCCCGGAUCAGAUCAGGUCCCGGAUCAGGUCAGGUCACAGAUCAGGUCACGGAUCAGGUCAGGUCACAGAUCAGGUCAUGGAUCAGGUCAGGUCACAGGUCAGGUCCCGGAUCAGAUCAGGUCCCGGAUCAGGUCAGGUCACAGGUCAGGUCCCGGAUCAGGUCAGGUCACAGAUCAGGUCCCGGAUCAGGUCAGGUCACAGGUCAGGUCCCGGAUCAGAUCAGGUCCCGGAUCAGGUCAGGUCACAGGUCAGGUCCCGGAUCAGAUCAGGUCCCGGAUCAGGUCAGGUCAACUGUACCUCUGACUAA
rnacentral:lncRNA from 1 species